GUUAUACUUCAGCUGAAAGGGAAUUGAAGAGAUUGAAUGAUUGGUGGAAGACUAACGAGGAGCAAUUUGAAGACUUGAACUACGAUGUGUUCCUCUACUCAUUCCCUUGGUACCUGAGUGGGGAAGGCAAGGCUGGAGAAGAAAGAAGACCAGUGUGGUCUUUGUCUAGUGAAACGGUCUGCUCCUCAAAACUGGGAGCAGUUGUUAGUAAUCUGUUUGAGGAUGACCACUAUGCAUAUCCAAUAAAACUCUCUUAUUUACUCGAAGUCGCUCAUGAUCAAGACAGGAAAGAUUCUCAUUGGUACACGUUGGAAAUAGAUUAUAUUUGGAACAAGGUAACUGAAUGGAGAAAUCGGACUGCUCGAAUUGUGGAGAAAAAUCCCCGUCUCAAUAAAUAUUUCUGUCUUCAAAAGCUCGCAGAUAAGGAAGAUGAAUAUGAUGAUGAAUAAUAAUGAGUGUAAUAAAUAGAAAAAUGAGCGGUGAUUGUUGAGAUCUUGGAAAUAAUUAUUAAAAAUAAAGUUCAGUUAACAAAAACGAGAUGUUUUUAUGAGAUGUCGCAUCCCAAAUGUCAAAAAGGCGUA